UUUCCGUAGGUGAACCUGCGGAAGGAUCAUUAUUGUGUAACCGAGGUGCGAGGGCUGUCGCUGACCCGACAGGUCGUGCACGCCCGAGUGCCCUCACACACAUCCAUCUCACCCCUAUGUGCACCACCGCGUGGGUCCCCCUUUGGCUUGUUCGGAGGGGGGCUUACGUUUUCACACAAACUUUGUAUGCAGUGUAGAAUGUAUUUUUUGUUUUUGCGAUCACGCAAUCAAUACAACUUUCAACAACGGAUCUCUUGGCUCUC
rnacentral:misc_RNA from 1 species